UCCGUGUGGGUGGCAGGUGCUUUCGGAAUGGAUGCCCUUCCGCCUAGUGUCUGCCCUCCUAGUACAGCAGGGGGCCGGCAUGCUUCAUGCUCCCUGUGAGGGUGGACUGGCGUGUGCACGUCCUUCAGCAGUGUCCUUGGGCCAAGUGUGGCACUGAGUCCUGCAGACACCCAGGGAGAGGGCAGGAGGCACCGGGUCAGAAAUCUGGGGCAGGUCAUCCGGGAAGCCCACGGGACCCUCAGGCGGGCAGGAUGAACGACUGGCACAGGAUCUUCACCCAAAACGUGCUUGUCCCUCCCCACCCACAGAGAGUGCGCCAGCCUUGGAAGGAAUCCACGGCAUUCCAGUGUGUCCUCAAGUGGCUGGACGGACCGGUAAUUAGGCAGGGCGUGCUGGAGGUACUGUCAGAGGUUGAAUGCCAUCUGCGAGUGUCUUUCUUUGAUGUCACCUACCGGCACUUCUUUGGGAGGACGUGGAAAACCACAGUGAAGCCGACGAAGAGACCGCCGUCCAGGAUCGUCUUUAAUGAGCCCUUGUAUUUUCACACAUCCCUAAACCACCCUCAUAUCGUGGCUGUGGUGGAAGUGGUCGCUGAGGGCAAGAAACGGGAUGGGAGCCUCCAGACAUUGUCCUGUGGGUUUGGAAUUCUUCGGAUCUUCAGCAACCAGCCGGACUCUCCUAUCUCUGCUUCCCAGGACAAAAGGUUGCGGCUGUACCAUGGCACCCCCAGAGCCCUCCUGCACCCGCUUCUCCAGGACCCUGCAGAGCAAAACAGACACAUGACCCUCAUUGAGAACUGCAGCCUGCAGUACACGCUGAAGCCACACCCGGCCCUGGAGCCUGCGUUCCACCUUCUUCCUGAGAACCUUCUGGUGUCUGGUCUGCAGCAGAUACCUGGCCUGCUUCCAGCUCAUGGAGAAUCCGGCGACGCUCUCCGAAAGCCUCGCCUCCAGAAGCCCAUCACGGGGCACCUGGAUGACUUAUUCUUCACCCUGUACCCCUCCCUGGAGAAGUUUGAGGAAGAGCUGCUGGAGCUCCACGUCCAGGACCACUUCCAGGAGGGAUGUGGCCCACUGGACGGUGGUGCCCUGGAGAUCCUGGAGCGGCGCCUGCGUGUGGGCGUGCACAACGGUCUGGGCUUCGUGCAGAGGCCGCAGGUCGUUGUACUGGUGCCUGAGAUGGAUGUGGCCUUGACGCGCUCAGCUAGCUUCAGCAGGAAAGUGGUCUCCUCUUCCAAGACCAGCUCUGGGAGCCAAGCUCUGGUUUUGAGAAGCCGCCUCCGCCUCCCAGAGAUGGUCGGCCACCCUGCAUUUGCGGUCAUCUUCCAGCUGGAGUACGUGUUCAGCAGCCCUGCAGGAGUGGACGGCAAUGCAGCUUCGGUCACCUCUCUGUCCAACCUGGCAUGCAUGCACAUGGUCCGCUGGGCUGUUUGGAACCCCUUGCUGGAAGCUGAUUCUGGAAGGGUGACCCUGCCUCUGCAGGGUGGGAUCCAGCCCAACCCCUCGCACUGUCUGGUCUACAAGGUACCCUCAGCCAGCAUGAGCUCUGAAGAGGUGAAGCAGGUGGAGUCGGGUACACUCCGGUUCCAGUUCUCGCUGGGCUCAGAAGAACACCUGGAUGCACCCACGGAGGCUGUCAGUGGCCCCAAAGUGGAGCGGCGGCCUUCCAGGAAACCACCCACGUCCCCUUCGAGCCCGCCAGCGCCAGUACCUCGAGGUCUCGCUGCCCCGCAGGACUCACCUGUGGGACCAGGGUUGUCAAUUUCCCAGCUGGCGGCCUCCCCGCGGUCCCCGACUCAGCACUGCUUGGCCAGGCCUACUUCACAGCUACCCCAUGGCUCUCAGGCCUCCCCGGCCCAGGCACAGGAGUUCCUGUUGGAGGGCGGUAUCUCCCACCUGGAAGCCGACCUGAGCCAGACCUCCCUGGUCCUGGAAACAUCCAUUGCCGAACAGUUACAGGAGCUGCCGUUCACGCCUUUGCAUGCCCCUAUUGUUGUGGGAACCCAGACCAGGAGCUCUGCAGGGCAGCCCUCGAGAGCCUCCAUGGUGCUCCUGCAGUCCUCCGGCUUUCCCGAGAUUCUGGAUGCCAAUAAACAGCCAGCCGAGGCCGUCAACCCUAUAGACCCUGUGACGUUUAACCCUCAGAAGGAAGAAUCAGAUUGUCUGCAAAGCAACGAGAUGGUGCUACAGUUUCUUGCCUUUAGCAGAGUGGCCCAGGACUGCCGAGGAACAUCAUGGCCAAAGACUGUAUAUUUCACCUUCCAGUUCUACCGCUUCCCACCCGCAACGACGCCACGACUGCAGCUGGUCCAGCUGGAUGAGGCCGGCCAGCCCAGCUCUGGCGCCCUGACCCACAUCCUCGUGCCUGUGAGCAGAGAUGGCACCUUUGAUGCUGGGUCUCCUGGCUUCCAGCUGAGGUACAUGGUGGGCCCUGGGUUCCUGAAGCCAGGUGAGCGGCGCUGCUUCGCCCGCUACCUGGCCGUGCAGACCCUGCAGAUUGACGUCUGGGACGGAGACUCCCUGCUGCUCAUCGGAUCUGCUGCCGUCCAGAUGAAGCAUCUCCUCCGCCAAGGCCGGCCGGCUGUGCAGGCCUCCCACGAGCUUGAGGUCAUGGCAACUGAAUACGAGCAGGACAACAUGGUGGUGAGUGGAGACAUGCUGGGGUUUGGCCGCGUCAAGCCCAUCGGCGUCCACUCGGUGGUGAAGGGCCGGCUGCACCUGACUUUGGCCAACGUGGGUCACCCGUGUGAACAGAAAGUGAGAGGUUGUAGCACAUUGCCACCGUCCAGAUCUCGGGUCAUCUCAAACGAUGGAGCCAGCCGCUUCUCUGGAGGCAGCCUCCUCACGACUGGAAGCUCAAGGCGAAAACACGUGGUGCAAGCACAGAAGCUGGCGGACGUGGACAGUGAGCUGGCUGCCAUGCUACUGACCCAUGCCCGGCAGGGCAAGGGGCCCCAGGACGUCAGCCGUGAGUCGGAUGCCACCCGCAGGCGUAAGCUGGAGCGGAUGAGGUCUGUGCGCCUGCAGGAGGCCGGGGGAGACUUGGGCCGGCGCGGGACGAGCGUGUUGGCGCAGCAGAGCGUCCGCACACAGCACUUGCGGGACCUACAGGUCAUCGCCGCCUACCGGGAACGCACGAAGGCCGAGAGCAUCGCCAGCCUGCUGAGCCUGGCCAUCACCACGGAGCACACGCUCCACGCCACGCUGGGGGUCGCCGAGUUCUUUGAGUUUGUGCUUAAGAACCCCCACAACACACAGCACACGGUGACUGUGGAGAUCGACAACCCCGAGCUCAGCGUCAUCGUGGACAGUCAGGAGUGGAGGGACUUCAAGGGUGCUGCUGGCCUGCACACACCGGUGGAGGAGGACAUGUUCCACCUGCGUGGCAGCCUGGCCCCCCAGCUCUACCUGCGCCCCCACGAGACCGCCCACGUCCCCUUCAAGUUCCAGAGCUUCUCUGCAGGGCAGCUGGCCAUGGUGCAGGCCUCUCCUGCGUUGAGCAACGAGAAGGGCAUGGACGCUGUGUCACCUUGGAAGUCCAGCGCAGUGCCCACUAAACACGCCAAGGUCUUGUUCCGAGCGAGUGGUGGCAAGCCCAUCGCCGUGCUCUGCCUGACUGUGGAGCUGCAGCCCCACGUGGUGGACCAGGUCUUCCGCUUCUAUCACCCGGAGCUCUCCUUCCUGAAGAAGGCCAUCCGCCUGCCGCCCUGGCACACAUUUCCAGGUGCUCCGGUGGGAAUGCUUGGUGAGGACCCCCCAGUCCACGUUCGCUGCAGCGACCCGAACGUCAUCUGUGAGACCCAGAAUGUGCAGAUCAGCUCCUUGAUCAUCUGAAUUUAAAUUUGAAAAAGGCACGAAGCAAAGUGAAUAAAGUGGAUGGGCCCCGGGGAGCCACGGGACAUAUUUCUGAAGGUGGCCAGUGGUCCAAGCCCGGAGAUCAAAGACUUCUUUGUCAUCAUUUACUCGGAUCGCUGGCUGGCGACACCCACACAGACAUGGCAGGUCUACCUCCACUCCCUGCAGCGCGUGGAUGUCUCCUGCGUCGCAGGCCAGCUGACCCGCCUGUCCCUUGUCCUUCGGGGGACACAGACAGUGAGGAAAGUGAGAGCUUUCACCUCUCAUCCCCAGGAGCUGAAGACAGACCCCAAAGGUGUCUUCGUGCUGCCGCCUCGUGGGGUGCAGGACCUGCAUGUUGGCGUGAGGCCCCUUAGGGCCGGCAGCCGCUUUGUCCAUCUCAACCUGGUGGACGUGGAUUGCCACCAGCUGGUGGCCUCCUGGCUCGUGUGCCUCUCCUGCCGCCAGCCGCUCAUCUCCAAGGCCUUUGAGAUCACGUUGGCUGCGGGCGAAGGGAAGGGUGUCAACAAGAGGAUCACCUACACCAACCCCUACCCCUCCCGGAGGACGUUCCACCUGCACAGCAACCACCCGGAGCUGCUGCGGUUCAGGGAGGACUCCUUCCAGGUCGGGGGUGGAGAGACCUACACCAUCGGCUUGCAGUUUGCGCCUAGUCAGAGAGUGGGUGAGGAGGAGAUCCUGAUCUACAUCAAUGACCAUGAGGACAAAAACGAAGAGGCAUUUUGCGUGAAGGUCAUCUACCAGUGAGGGCUUGAGGGUGACGUCCUUCCUGCGGCACCCGGCUGGGGCCUGUCUGUGCCCCUCCUGCCCUGCAGGCCGUCCUCCCCGCCUCUCUGCAGCCUCUCACUUCAGUGCCCACCUGGCUGACCUGUGCACUUGGCUGAGGAAGCAGAGACCGAGCGCUGGUCAUUUUGUAGUACCUGCGUCCAGCUUAGCUGCUGCUGACACCCAGCAGGCCUGGGUUCCGUGAGCGCGAACUCCGUGGCGGUGGGUCUGGCUCUGGUGCUGCCAUCUACGCAUGUGGGACCCUUGUUAUCGCUGUUGCUCAAAAUGUAUUUUAUGAAUCAUCCUAAAUGAGAAAAUUAUGUUUUUCUUACUGGAUUUUGUACAAACAUAAUCUAUUAUUUGCUAUGCAGUAUUUUAUGCUGGUAUUAUAUCUGUUUUUUAAAUUGUUGAACAAAAUACUAAACUUUUACACGUC